UCUCCGUUGGUGAACCAGCGGAGGGAUCAUUACAGAGUUGCAAAACUCCCACAAACCAUCGCGAAUCUUACCCGUACGGUUGCCUCGGCGCUGGCGGUCCGGAGGGCCCUCGGGCCCCCCGGAUCCUCGGGUCUCCCGCUCGCGGGAAGCUGCCCGCCGGAGUGCCGAAACCAAACUCUUGAUAUUUUAUGUCUCUCUGAGUAAACUUUUAAAUAAGUCAAAACUUUCAACAACGGAUCUCUUGGUUCUG
rnacentral:misc_RNA from 1 species